AGCGUAGGCGGACAUCUAAGUCAGGGGUGAAAUCCCGGGGCUCAACCUCGGAAUUGCCUUUGAUACUGGGUAUCUUGAGUAUGGAAGAGGUAAGUGGAAUUCCGAGUGUAGAGGUGAAAUUCGUAGAUAUUCGGAGGAACACCAGUGGCGAAGGCGGCUUACUGGUCCAUUACUGACGCUGAGGUGCGAAAGCGUGGGGAGCAAACA
rnacentral:rRNA from 1 species